rnacentral:lncRNA from 1 species
CAGGGUCCCAAAUGCACCAACACUCCGGGAACAAGCUCCUAAAAAUAAAAAAAGACAGAAGCCAUCACCCACCACCCCCAGUGAUUUUUUCAGGCAAAGAGAACAUAGAAAUAGCAGGUUGAAAAGAAAAUCUCCCGAUUUAUUCCCAUCCAUCCAAGAGAGAGCUCUUCUCGCCUACACACACCACAAAUCCACUUUUCUUGAAAGACGACAUCAAAAGAACCAGAGAAGGACAAAUCUUGAAAAAUCAACAAGAACAAAAACACAGUGAUACCUUUUCCUUGAGGAUCAGGAACAGAGACUUCCAAGCAAUUACUGACAACAAAUAAUGCAUAAGGCAUUUCUACAAGCAUGGUGACUAUGGAAGAAGAGAUUUACAAAGAAUUUAGAUUAUAUUUAUAAUAGUCUACAGACAUCAAAAAGUACCAAAACCCUUGAAAUGCUCAAGCCAAAAAAGAAUGAUAAGCAUAGGUAUGAAGAUAAACCCCUCUAAAAUAAUGUACUAGCCUUUGAUCUGAGGACAGAGACCUAUGUUUUGGCCACCCCUCUGAAUCACUGAAAUCCUAGAUUCGACACAGACAAAUUAAAUUAAAAUGACAUAGUAAAUUAAAGAACAAGUAGAGAAAAAUCAUUUUUAAAAGAAAACAGCAAAAAAAAAAGAGUAGGGAAAGAGAGUGCUUAUCCAAUAUCUUGUUACAAAACCAGUUAGCACAGGGUACCAAACACACCGACACUCCUGGAACAAGCUUCCCUAAAAUCAAGACAACAGAGAGAAGCCAUCACCCACCUGAUUUUUUCAGGCAAGAGAGAACAAAAAAAGACCAGGUUGAAAAGAAAAUCUCCCGAUUUUAUUCACAUCCAUCCAAGAGAGAGCUCUUCUAGCCUCCACAUACCAGAAAUCCACUAUUCUUGAAAAAUGACAUCAAAAGAACCAGAGAAGAGAAGACA